rnacentral:rRNA from 1 species
CAUGCAAGUCGAGCGGACAGAAGGGAGCUUGCUCCCGGAAUGUUAGCGGCGGACGGGUGAGUAACACGUGGGUAACCUGCCUGUAAGACUGGGAUAACUCCGGGAAACCGGAGCUAAUACCGGAUAGUUCCUUGAACCGCAUGGUUCAAGGAUGAAAGACGGUUUCGGCUGUCACUUACAGAUGGACCCGCGGCGCAUUAGCUAGUUGGUGAGGUAACGGCUCACCAAGGCGACGAUGCGUAGCCGACCUGAGAGGGUGAUCGGCCACACUGGGACUGAGACACGGCCCAGACUCCUACGGGAGGCAGCAGUAGGGAAUCUUCCGCAAUGGACGAAAGUCUGACGGAGCAACGCCGCGUGAGUGAUGAAGGUUUUCGGAUCGUAAAGCUCUGUUGUUAGGGAAGAACAAGUGCAAGAGUAACUGCUUGCACCUUGACGGUACCUAACCAGAAAGCCACGGCUAACUACGUGCCAGCAGCCGCGGUAAUACGUAGGUGGCAAGCGUUGUCCGGAAUUAUUGGGCGUAAAGGGCUCGCAGGCGGUUUCUUAAGUCUGAUGUGAAAGCCCCCGGCUCAACCGGGGAGGGUCAUUGGAAACUGGGAAACUUGAGUGCAGAAGAGGAGAGUGGAAUUCCACGUGUAGCGGUGAAAUGCGUAGAGAUGUGGAGGAACACCAGUGGCGAAGGCGACUCUCUGGUCUGUAACUGACGCUGAGGAGCGAAAGCGUGGGGAGCGAACAGGAUUAGAUACCCUGGUAGUCCACGCCGUAAACGAUGAGUGCUAAGUGUUAGGGGGUUUCCGCCCCUUAGUGCUGCAGCUAACGCAUUAAGCACUCCGCCUGGGGGAGUACGGUCGCAAGACUGAAACUCAAAGGAAUUGACGGGGGCCCGCACAAGCGGUGG